UGAGUAAUGUAUAGCUAACCUGCCCUUUAGUGGGGACAACAGUUGGAAACGACUGCUAAUACCCCAUAUUCCUUCUUAUCCAUAAGGUAAGUUGGGAAAGAUUUAUUGCUAUCGGAUGCGCCUACGUGGGAUUAGCUAGUUGGUGGGGUAAUGGCUCACCAAGGCGACGAUCCCUAGCUGGUUUGAGAGGAUGAUCAGCCACACUGGAACUGAGACACGGUCCAGACUCCUACGGGAGGCAGCAGUGGGGAAUAUUGGACAAUGGGCGCAAGCCUGAUCCAGCCAUGCCGCGUGUGUGAAGAAGGCCUUCGGGUUGUAAAGCACUUUCAGCGAGGAGGAAGGGUUAGUAGUUAAUAGCUGCUAAUUUUGACGUUACUCGCAGAAGAAGCACCGGCUAACUCUGUG
rnacentral:rRNA from 1 species